AGUGAACGCUGGCGGUAGGCCUAACACAUGCAAGUCGAACGGCAGCACAGUAAGAGCUUGCUCUUACGGGUGGCGAGUGGCGGACGGGUGAGGAAUACAUCGGAAUCUACUUUUUCGUGGGGGAUAACGUAGGGAAACUUACGCUAAUACCGCAUACGACCUACGGGUGAAAGCAGGGGAUCUUCGGACCUUGCGCGAUUGAAUGAGCCGAUGUCGGAUUAGCUAGUUGGCGGGGUAAAGGCCCACCAAGGCGACGAUCCGUAGCUGGCCUGAGAGGAUGAUCAGCCACACUGGAACUGAGACACGGUCCAGACUCCUACGGGAGGCAGCAGUGGGGAAUAUUGGACAAUGGGCGCAAGCCUGAUCCAGCCAUACCGCGUGGGUGAAGAAGGCCUUCGGGUUGUAAAGCCCUUUUGUUGGGAAAGAGAAGCAGCAGGUUAAUACCCCGCUGUUCUGACGGUACCCAAAGAAUAAGCACCGGCUAACUUCGUG
rnacentral:rRNA from 1 species